AUGAAGGACGGAGACAUCGAGGCCCUGGUCGCUAGGAGCCCCGUCUUGGAGAUUCUGAACAUCCAAGGAAGCAACAAAGGGCUGCGCCUUCGCCUCGUCAGCCAGAGCCUCCGGUGCGUGCAAAUCUGUGGCUCUGUUGUAGAGGACAUUGCCGUGGUGAAGGCUCCAUGCCUUGACCGGCUCAUCGUGGAGCAUCCUAGGGACAGUGCCCGUGGUCUGUGUACCAGGGUCAGGAUUGGUGACUGCCCCAAGUUGCACGCAUUAGGAAUUUUGAAGGCAGGAAAUCACAUCCUAGAGAUCCAAGGCACCGUCAUCGUGGCUGGGAUAAAGCCAAGCCCAAGCACCAUGGUGAUGAACGUCAAGAUCCUGAGUUUGAAUGUGUGUUUCGGAGACCACGAUAACAUUAAGAUGCUGACUGCCUUUCUCAGAUGCUUUCCCAAUCUGGAGACGCUGCAUAUCAUGUCCGCAAAAGGUGUCUAUCAAGCUGGCAAUGUCAGGCCCAAUCUCAGGUUCUGGGAGUCGGCCAAGCCCACCAAAAGUGUCGAGUUCUCCAUCAAGGUGAUAUCUUUCUGUGAAUUUCGAGGGGAGCUAGGUGAGGCUGCUUUCCUGAAGUUCUUCUUUCGUAGUGCGAGGGCUCUUGAGAGUGCAAUGAUUACAAUGCGCUCUGGAUCAUUUUCUACGGAUGAGCUAUCUUCUAGAGUGAAACAAGUGUCUCAAAAGAUGGUGAGUAAAUCAUGCAAAAUGAUUGUUCUUGGGAGUGAUGGCCCUGAAGGAGGCAGGCCUUGGAGCUUCAAAAGAGGAACCGAUUACUGCUUCAAGGACCCUUUCUCAGCUGUGGAAUGGGUCGGUUAA
rnacentral:rRNA from 1 species